rnacentral:rRNA from 1 species
GGGCCCGCACAAGCGGUGGAUUAUGUGGUUUAAUUCGAAGCAACGCGCAGAACCUUACCUAGGCUUGAAAUCCUACGAAUCCGGCCCAAAAGCUGGAGUGCCCCUCGGGGAAUGUAGAGACAGGCGCUGCAUGGCUGUCGUCAGCUCGUGUCGUGAGAUGUUGGGUUAAGUCUCGCAACGAGCGCAACCCCUAUCUUUAGUUGCCAGCAUUAAGUUGGGCACUCUAGAGAGACUGCCUGGGUUAACCAGGAGGAAGGUGGGGAUGACGUCAAGUCCUCAUGGCCCUUAUGCCUAGGGCUACACACGUAAUACAAUGGUUGGUACAGAGGGAAGCGAACUCGCGAGGGGAGCAAAUCUCAAAAAGCCAAUCUCAGUCCGGAUUGGAGUCUGCAACUCGACUCCAUGAAGUUGGAAUCGCUAGUAAUCGC